CCUACGGGAGGCAGCAGUGAGGAAUAUUGGUCAAUGGACGAGAGUCUGAACCAGCCAAGUAGCGUGAAGGAUGACUGCCCUAUGGGUUGUAAACUUCUUUUAUAUGGGAAUAAAAUGUUCCACGUGUGGGAUUUUGUAUGUACCAUAUGAAUAAGGAUUGGCUAACUCCGUGCCAGCAGCCGCGGUAAUACGGAGGAUCCGAGCGUUAUCCGGAUUUAUUGGGUUUAAAGGGAGCGUAGGUGGAUUGUUAAGUCAGUUGUGAAAGUUUGCGGCUCAACCGUAAAAUUGCAGUUGAAACUGGCAGUCUUGAGUACAGUAGAGGUGUGCGGAAUUCGUGGUGUAGCGGUGAAAUGCUUAGAUAUCACGAAGAACUCCGAUUGCGAAGGCAGUUCACUGGACUGCAACUGACACUGAGGCUCGAAAGUGUGGGUAUCAAACAGGAUUAGAUACCCGAGUAGUC
rnacentral:rRNA from 1 species